CAUAGACCUCUAGCAACUAAAAAGCAAAAUAAAAUGUUUUGUCUUUAGAGACAACUGACACCUGUCAUGCAGCUAGCGUUCACACAAACAGUGAAAAGUAAUAUAUUCAAACCAACAUUCUGAAAUCAAUGGGAUAAUUUAAACAUUCAAGUGAGGCAAACCACAACCUGUACUUGUAUCACUCAAGUUAUUUCUAGAGAGGGCUAACUCACAGGAUUGCUAAAUAAUGUGGAUGAUCUAAAAGUGCAUCAUGCAUAGGUCUGUGUUUAUUCUGGAGCAUGGACCAUUCUUUCUAUGCUGUUUGGAUUUACCUUCAGAAAGGACCACUCACCACUCCUUUCCUCUGAUUCGGAGACCUGCCACAGCCAGACUAGGAUCCAGAUUAUAAAUGGUAUAGAGGAGCAAGUACAAUACACUUCUUUGGGGAGAGUAGACAGUCAUACCCAUUUUAGAAAACAUAUUUUGGAGAUUUCUCAAAAAG
rnacentral:lncRNA from 1 species